UUUAGUAAUGGCAACGCCACUAGUUCCAAUUUCUUUUUCUUAUCCAGAUCCUACCCUUAUAAUCUUAAUGUUGAAUGGGUAAAACUGGAAAUGCAUCGUUCUUUCAGAAGCUUUGCUGUUGCAAAAGCAGGAAAGAUUCAAAUACCUAAAAAGAAAAGGAGACUGGACGAAAUAUGUCUUGAAAGGUUCCAGCAGUACAGCCGAACAUUUAUUCAGUCAUGGAUUUUACAAGGCAAAGUGUUUGUAGAUGGCAAGAUGGUGAGCAAAGCUGGCACACCUAUCUC
rnacentral:misc_RNA from 1 species